rnacentral:rRNA from 1 species
CCUACGGGAGGCAGCAGUGGGGAAUAUUGCACAAUGGGGGAAACCCUGAUGCAGCGAUGCCGCGUGGAGGAAGAAGGUUUUCGGAUUGUAAACUCCUUUUAUCAGGGACGAUAAUGACGGUACCUGAAGAAAAAGCUGCUGCUAACUCCGUGCCAGCAGCCGCGGUAAUACGGAGGGAGCGAGCGUUGUCCGGAAUUAAGGGGUGUAAAGGGAGCGUAGGCUGGACGGCAAGUAAGAUGUGAAAACUGCGGGCUCAACUUUCAGACUGCAUUUGAAACUGCUGUUCUUGAGUGACGUAGAGGAUAGCGGAAUUCCUGGUGUAGCGGUGAAAUCCGUAGAUAUUUGGAGGAACAUCGGUGGCGAAGGCGACUUACUGGGCUUUUACUGACGCUGAGGCUCGAAAGCGUGGGGAGCAAACAGGAUUAGAUACCCGGGUAGUC